rnacentral:tRNA from 1 species
GUGGGUAUAGCUCAACUGGUGAGAGCACCGGUCUGUGGAACCGGGGGCUGUGGGUUCAAGUCCCACUAUCCACC